rnacentral:rRNA from 1 species
GAAGUUACUUCGGUACAUCGGUGACAGGUGGUGCAUGGUUGUCGUCAGCUCGUGUCGUGAGAUGUUGGGUUAAGUCCCGCAACGAGCGCAACCCUAUUGUUAGUUGCCAUCAUUCAGUUGGGCACUCUAGCGAGACUGCCGGUAUAAACCGGAGGAAGGUGGGGAUGACGUCAAGUCCUCAUGGCCCUUAUGGGUAGGGCGUUCACACGUCAUACAAUGGUCGGUACAGAGGGUUGCCAAGCCGCGGAGGUGGAGCCAAAUCCCUUAAAGCCGAUCGUAGUCCGGAUCGUAGUCUGCAACUCGACUACGUGAAGUCGGAAUCGCUAGUAAUCGCAGAUCAGCAUGCUGCGGUGAAUACGUUCCCGGGUCUU